rnacentral:piRNA from 1 species
UACCUUUAACUGAAAGAACUACGGGUGG